AUUGAACGCUGGCGGCAGGCUUAACACAUGCAAGUCGAGCGGGGUGAUGGUGCUUGCACUAUCACUUAGCGACGGACGGGUGAGUGAUGCUUAGGAAUCUGCCUAUUAGUGGGGGACAACAUUUCGAAAGGAAUGCUAAUACCGCAUACGUCCCACGGGAGAAAGCAGGGGAUCUUCGGACCUUGCGCUAAUAGAUGAGCCUAAGUCGGAUUAGCUAGUUGGUGGGGUAAAGGCCUACCAAGGCGACGAUCUGUAGCGGGUCUGAGAGGAUGAUCCGCCACACUGGGACUGAGACACGGCCCAGACUCCUACGGGAGGCAGCAGUGGGGAAUAUUGGACAAUGGGCGGAAGCCUGAUCCAGCCAUGCCGCGUGUGUGAAGAAGGCCUUAUGGUUGUAAAGCACUUUAAGCGAGGAGGAGGCUACUUUAGUUAAUACCUAGAGAUAGUGGACGUUACUCGCAGAAUAAGCACCGGCUAACUCUGUGCCAGCAGCCGCGGUAAGAC
rnacentral:rRNA from 1 species